GAUGAAGAACGCAGCGAAAUGCGAUAAGUAGUGUGAAUUGCAGAAUUCAGUGAAUCAUCGAAUCUUUGAACGCACAUUGCGCCCUAUAGUAUUCUGUAGGGCAUGCAUGUUCGAGCGUCAUUUGUACCUUCAAGCUUUGCUUGGUGUUGGGUGUUUGUCCUCUCCCUGGUGUUUGGACUCGCCUUAAAACAAUUGGCAGCCAGUGUUUUGGUAUUGAAGCGCAGCACAAUUUGCGAUUCUGGCCUUAAAAUACUAGCGUCCAUAAGUUCAUUCUCACUUUUGACCUCGGAUCAUGUAGGGAUACCCGCUGAACUUAAGCAUAUCAAUAAGCGGAGGA
rnacentral:misc_RNA from 1 species